CAAGACAUUGGCCACUUACUCCUUGUGAUGGUACUGAACAAGCAGAGAAGGCAGAAUCCCUCCCACUAUGGAUUUCUCACUCCUGUGAACAAAUGUCCACCCCCUUCCCAACUGCAAGAGGACUCACGCUGCUCUCAGCCUGAGGCAGAGAAGCUCUUCAGUAGAAGGCAGCAGCUAUUGCACAGACUCCUACAUGGUCAGAAUAUGGGGAACAAGAGUGAACCCUCAGCCUUAAAUGGGUUAUCUGUCAUACACACCCAAGGCCCAGGGAACAUUUGCAGAAGGAGGGCAGAAAAACAAAGAAACAAACAAACAAAAAAACAAACCAAACAAACAGAAAAACAAGAGCAGGAGGACGGGAAGGGGUUUCAGGAACUGCUUCUGUGCAGAUCUAGCAUUGUUGUUGAAAACAUGAGCCCACAGCAGCUAUGGAUACCUGCAGAAGACUUGGGCCACAGGAGCUCCCAUCUCUGUUGAAGAACUAAAGGCAGAAUCCAGACUUAUGCUAUAUGACAUGAAAGUUGAAGGGCGACCAAUGUCAGGGGAGAAAUGGCACCCAGCCGUGGUGAGGAAGAGAGAAUAUUGGGGCAGAACCCACUACAUGUCAGGCGUGUUGCCAAGUGUUGGAGAAAAUAUACAGUUGAAGAAAUUCCCUUUCCAGGCUGAGGCUGCCGAAGCCCAUGAAGAAGGUCAACUAAUGAUGGCACCGCAUGUCAAAAAGAACAUAGGAAA
rnacentral:lncRNA from 1 species